GGGAAAAUUCCUCCCUACUAUACUUCAUUAAAAGUUAAAACUCAAAUGAAGACUUUCUGGUUUCUAGUUUCUUUUCCAGGCAAUCUUCAUAAAGGUAUGUUUUUUCAGAUAAGAUAAUUUUUUUCUAAGUUAAAACCCCAAGUGUUUUGUUUUGCUGUUUUUUUGUACUUUAAAUAUCACAGGUGUUUUUACAUAUAUAUUAAAAAAAACAAUAAAAUCAGCUUAAAAUAAAUUUAUUGUACAAUACAAAAAAUAGGCAUACUGGAAAAUAAAGAUACAUUAUUAAAUAUACAAAGCAAAUGAAGAAAGCUCAACAACACAAAUGUUUUAAUCCAAACACUAAGAUAAAAUGCACAACAUUUAUGCUAAAAACAAAAUAUUUCAAGAAGAGUAUGCAUUUCAAAUGAAAUGUUAAUGAUAGCAAAAAAAAAUAAACAGAAAAAAGGAAAAGAAAAAAAUACGCUGUCAUGUAAAUGCUUGAAUAUCAAGAAUCAAUAAUAGUAGGAAAAAUUAAACCCAACAAUACUGGGUACUUCUCAAAGAGCUUUAUUUGAAAAGAGAUUGAAUAUACUGAAGGGAAUUAAGAUAAAUCCACAAACUGGCAAAGCUUUUCUUUCCUCUUCUUGUCUGCAGAUACAGUCACGGUAUCUUACCUACUCUUAAGCUAAUACCUUCCUAUACAGUUUUGAAUGCUUGUUCUUAACAGCAUUCUUUAAACACAGCAGCUGACUUAAUCCUACUUCAUAUUUAAGUGUACAUUCAAGCAUUACUAGAAUUAUAUAUAGGAAGUGCCAAAAAUUAACAAAAUAGUUUGAAGUUUACACAAACAUGACCACAAUAUGAAAAUUAAGUCAUUUUGUAAAGUAAAUCCAACUUCUGAAUGAAACAACAAAAUGUACACAUAAAAAUGGAGGGGAAAUAAACCUAAAAUCUUUUUUCCAAUCAUGGUGCUCAAUUACCUGAAUCACAGUCACUCUGGAUACAAGAAAAAGAGAUGAUUAGUGUCCACAAGCAGGGCAGUGGCAAGGCUUUUAAAGCAUCAGGCUGGGGAAUGCAUAUGAACACCAAAGGGGCAGGACAGCCAGCCUUUCUAAAACCCACCAUGUAAUUAUUUAAAUACAAAUAGUAAUACUUAAGUUAGCCCAAAGGCUUUAAGGUCGAACUUCUGAGAAGAACCCUUUUCUUAAUAUCAGAGUUCCCAGUUUCAAAUCAGACCAUCAGGACUUUCCUGUAUCUUACUUAGCCUAUCAGUGAACUAUUUUUCCCGCACUUUCUUUAGUUACAGAAUCUGCUCUACUAUACAUGUGCCAUAAUUUAAAAAGCAAUAAGGCUUUCAUUCUCAACCACUUGCCCAAAAUUUACAAGUUUAAAAGUGAAUUUGAAAAACCAAACUUGAAAUUGUGAGAAAAACAAAAUACACGAAGGAAGACAUGUAAAUAAAUCCUGCAGAACAUUAGUAUCAUUUUGCCAAGAUAGAUUCUAAAAAUAUGUAUAUCUGUUUAUGACGAGAUAAAAUGGAACCUAUGAUUCUCUUGAAAAAAGUUUUGAUUCUCAAUAUUGCAUUUUAAAAAUAAACAGAAGCAUUCCAAUUCAACAAAUAUUUUAGUUGUAUACUUAACACCUUCAAACUAUAUUCAUUUCAUAAGUAUGCUAAUAAAAGUUCAAAAAGAACAAAAUUUAUGAGAUGUUAUAAUUAUCACAAAAUAUUCAUUAGCACUUAUGAAACAUAAUAAAAUUACUAAAAGCUAAAAAAGCAAAAUUUACCGUUCAUACUUAAAUAC
rnacentral:lncRNA from 1 species